GUACCGUGAGGGAAAGGCGAAAAGAACCCCGGCGAGGGGAGUGAAAAAGAACCUGAAACCGUGUACGUACAAGCAGUGGGAGCCUCUUAAUGGGGUGACUGCGUACCUUUUGUAUAAUGGGUCAGCGACUUAUAUUCUGUAGCAAGGUUAACCGAAUAGGGGAGCCGAAGGGAAACCGAGUCUUAACUGGGCGUUAAGUUGCAGGGUAUAGACCCGAAACCCGGUGAUCUAGCCAUGGGCAGGUUGAAGGUUGGGUAACACUAACUGGAGGACCGAACCGACUAAUGUUGAAAAAUUAGCGGAUGACUUGUGGCUGGGGGUGAAAGGCCAAUCAAACCGGGAGAUAGCUGGUUCUCCCCGAAAGCUAUUUAGGUAGCGCCUCGUGAAUUCAUCUCCGGGGGUAGAGCACUGUUUCGGCAAGGGGGUCAUCCCGACUUACCAACCCGAUGCAAACUGCGAAUACCGGAGAAUGUUAUCACGGGAGACACACGGCGGGUGCUAACGUCCGUCGUGAAGAGGGAAACAACCCAGACCGCCAGCUAAGGUCCCAAAGUCAUGGUUAAGUGGGAAACGAUGUGGGAAGGCCCAGACAGCCAGGAUGUUGGCUUAGAAGCAGCCAUCAUUUAAAGAAAGCGUAAUAGCUCACUGGUCGAGUCGGCCUGCGCGGAAGAUGUAACGGGGCUAAACCAUGCACCGAAGCUGCGGCAGCGACACUAUGUGUUGUUGGGUAGGGGAGCGUUCUGUAAGCCUGUGAAGGUGUGCUGUGAGGCAUGCUGGAGGUAUCAGAAGUGCGAAUGCUGACAUAAGUAACGAUAAAGCGGGUGAAAAGCCCGCUCGCCGGAAGACCAAGGGUUCCUGUCCAACGUUAAUCGGGGCAGGGUGAGUCGACCCCUAAGGCGAGGCCGAAAGGCGUAGUCGAUGGGAAACAGGUUAAUAUUCCUGUACUUGGUGUUACUGCGAAGGGGGGACGGAGAAGGCUAUGUUGGCCGGGCGACGGUUGUCCCGGUUUAAGCGUGUAGGCUGGUUUUCCAGGCAAAUCCGGAAAACCAAGGCUGAGGCGUGAUGACGAGGCACUACGGUGCUGAAGCGACAAAUGCCCUGCUUCCAGGAAAAGCCUCUAAGCAUCAGGUAACAUCAAAUCGUACCCCAAACCGACACAGGUGGUCAGGUAGAGAAUACCAAGGCGCUUGAGAGAACUCGGGUGAAGGAACUAGGCAAAAUGGUGCCGUAACUUCGGGAGAAGGCACGCUGAUAUGUAGGUGAAGCGACUUGCUCGUGGAGCUGAAAUCAGUCGAAGAUACCAGCUGGCUGCAACUGUUUAUUAAAAACACAGCACUGUGCAAACACGAAAGUGGACGUAUACGGUGUGACGCCUGCCCGGUGCCGGAAGGUUAAUUGAUGGGGUUAGCGGUAACGCGAAGCUCUUGAUCGAAGCCCCGGUAAACGGCGGCCGUAACUAUAACGGUCCUAAGGUAGCGAAAUUCCUUGUCGGGUAAGUUCCGACCUGCACGAAUGGCGUAAUGAUGGCCAGGCUGUCUCCACCCGAGACUCAGUGAAAUUGAACUCGCUGUGAAGAUGCAGUGUACCCGCGGCAAGACGGAAAGACCCCGUGAACCUUUACUAUAGCUUGACACUGAACAUUGAGCCUUGAUGUGUAGGAUAGGUGGGAGGCUUUGAAGUGUGGACGCCAGUCUGCAUGGAGCCGACCUUGAAAUACCACCCUUUAAUGUUUGAUGUUCUAACGUUGGCCCGUAAUCCGGGUUGCGGACAGUGUCUGGUGGGUAGUUUGACUGGGGCGGUCUCCUCCUAAAGAGUAACGGAGGAGCACGAAGGUUGGCUAAUCCUGGUCGGACAUCAGGAGGUUAGUGCAAUGGCAUAAGCCAGCUUGACUGCGAGCGUGACGGCGCGAGCAGGUGCGAAAGCAGGUCAUAGUGAUCCGGUGGUUCUGAAUGGAAGGGCCAUCGCUCAACGGAUAAAAGGUACUCCGGGGAUAACAGGCUGAUACCGCCCAAGAGUUCAUAUCGACGGCGGUGUUUGGCACCUCGAUGUCGGCUCAUCACAUCCUGGGGCUGAAGUAGGUCCCAAGGGUAUGGCUGUUCGCCAUUUAAAGUGGUACGCGAGCUGGGUUUAGAACGUCGUGAGACAGUUCGGUCCCUAUCUGCCGUGGGCGCUGGAGAACUGAGGGGGGCUGCUCCUAGUACGAGAGGACCGGAGUGGACGCAUCACUGGUGUUCGGGUUGUCAUGCCAAUGGCACUGCCCGGUAGCUAAAUGCGGAAGAGAUAAGUGCUGAAAGCAUCUAAGCACGAAACUUGCCCCGAGAUGAGUUCUCCCUGAGACUUAGAGUCUCCUGAAGGAACGUUGAAGACGACGACGUUGAUAGGCCGGGUGUGUAAGCGCAGCGAUGCGUUGAGCUAACCGGUACUAAUGAACCGUGAGGCUUAACCUUACAACGCCGAAG
rnacentral:rRNA from 1 species